rfam:Drosophila willistoni strain TSC#14030-0811.24 scf2_1100000004521 genomic scaffold, whole genome shotgun sequence.
UUUUGUUCUAUAUUCUUAGUACUCGGGUUGAUAAAGACAAAAUGUUUACCAAUCGCCUUUGUCAUCGGGGGUAUUAUGAAAUAUAGCUCAAAA